CUAAGAAUCUUGCGCAAUGGGCGAAAGCCUGACGCAGCAAUUCCGCGUGGGGGACGAAGGCCCUCGGGUCGUAAACCCCUUUUGCGAGGGAAGAAGUUCUGGCGGUACAUCGCGAAUAAGACACGGCUAACUACGUGCCAGCAGCCGCGGUAAUACGUAGGUGUCGAGCGUUGUCCAGAUUUAUUGGGAGUAAAGAGCCCGCAGGCGGCUUGCCAAGUUCGAGGUGAAAUCUCCCGGCUCAACCGGGAGGGUGCCUCGAAAACUGGCAGGCUUGAGGCAGGGAGAGGGAUGUGGAAUUCCCGGUGUAGUGGUGAAAUGCGUAGAUAUCGGGAGGAACACCAGUGGCGAAGGCGGCAUCCUGGCCCUGUCCUGACGCUCAGGGGCGAAAGCGUGGGGAGCAAACC
rnacentral:rRNA from 1 species